CAUCAUAUACAUAAACAUUAAUCCCUCUAUGGGAUUUCAUCAAAGCCUCAAUGGGCAAUAUAUAUCCUGUGUUGAGUUGGUACACAUAUACAUCAUAAAAUAAGAUCAUGUACAUACCAAGGGAUUAACACAUACUAUGGUCAAGCACGACUCUAUCCUCAAUAACAUAAUUACAUAAACAUAACUGUUCAAAACUUUACAUUACAUUCUUAUCAUUUGUCAUGUCCACACUCUAGCUAUUACAUACAUAUGACUUUUCUCUUCUUUUCUUCUCUAUCAAUCCCGUACCUGCAAACCUGGGGGUUAGGGGAGAGGGGUGAGCUAAAAGCCCAGUGAGCAGAAACUAAAAACAUUAUAUUAAAAUUCAUGCUUUCAUGAAAUGCAUCAUAUCACAGACAAUUCACAUCAAGGGUGNNNNN
rnacentral:lncRNA from 1 species